AACGCUAGCUACAGGCUUAACACAUGCAAGUCGCGGGGUAACGAGAGGGAAGCUUGCUUUCCUUGUCGACGACCGGCGCACGGGUGAGUAACGCGUAUCCAACCUGCCCAUUACCACGGGAUACCCCGUCGAAAGGCGGCCUAAUACCGUAUGCAGUCGUCAGAUGACAUCAGAGGACGACGAAAGGAUUGGCGGUAAUGGAUGGGGAUGCGUCUGAUUAGGUAGUUGGAGGGGUAACGGCCCACCAAGCCAUCGAUCAGUAGGGGUUCUGAGAGGAAGGUCCCCCACAUUGGAACUGAGACACGGUCCAAACUCCUACGGGAGGCAGCAGUGAGGAAUAUUGGUCAAUGGGCGCGAGCCUGAACCAACCAAGUAGCGUGAGGGAUGACGGCCCUAUGGGUCGUAAACCUCUUUUAUGCGGGAAUAAAAUGUUUGACGUGUCAUACAUUGUAGGUACCGCAAGAAUAAGGACCGGCUAAUUCCGUGCCAGCAGCCGCGGUAAUACGGAAGGUCCAGGCGUUAUCCGGAUUUAUUGGGUUUAAAGGGAGCGUAGGCUGUCUGUUAAGCGUGUUGUGAAAUGUAGAUGCUCAACAUCUGAAUUGCAGCGCGAACUGGCAGACUUGAGUGUGCGCAACGUAGGCGGAAUUCGUGGUGUAGCGGUGAAAUGCUUAGAUAUCACGAAGAACUCCGAUUG
rnacentral:rRNA from 1 species